rnacentral:rRNA from 1 species
AUGGCCACCGCCGCCGCCACAGCCACCUCACCGUUGCACGACUCCCGAACCUUCGCCCUGCAGCAGGGCGAGUUGGAUGGGCGCUUUGCGGAUGCCGAAGAGAAACCAGCAGCACCAUCCGAGGAGCCCGCGGAGGCGGAGGCGGAGGCGGAGGAGGACGAGGACGACGAUGAGGACGAGGACGAGGAGUAUUGGUCCUACCAUGACGUGGGUGAAGCCCUAGACUGGCUCGACGCCGCGGAGGGCCCGGAUGGCUCGACGCGUCUUUCCUCAACAUUCUCGGCCGCCGGAAGCGCCGCUGCGGCGCGGAGGCCGAACGCGCACGGCGGCAUGCUCGCGCGCACACUCCAGCCACUCUCCAACCGCACACAGAAGCUGGCCUCGCACGUCCGCGCCGCUCCCUUGGAGGAGUGGGAAGGUAGAAUGAACGUGGGGAUGUCAAAUUCCGUGACGACUGCAAUCAGGGACAGCAUAAGGGAUACUGCAAUUGGGAAAACAAGGAACACUGGGAAGGCAGAUCGUGCUACAGUUGAACAGGCUAUUGACCCAAGAACCCGCAUGGUUUUGUUCAAAAUGUUAAACCGUGGUGUUUUUAAUAACAUAAAUGGUUGCAUUUCUACCGGAAAAGAGGCAAAUGUAUAUCAUGCAACAAAGACAGAUGGCAGUGAGUUAGCAAUCAAAGUCUAUAAAACUUCAGUGCUUGUUUUUAAGGAUAGAGAUCGAUACGUUCAAGGAGAUUAUCGCUUUAGACAUGGUUACUGCAAGCAUAAUCCUCGGAAAAUGGUAAAGACCUGGGCUGAAAAGGAAAUGCGAAAUCUUUUACGAGUUAGAGCAGAAGGAAUCCGAUGCCCGAAGCCGUUGCUCUUGAGGCUUCAUGUUUUGGUGAUGGAAUUUAUAGGAAAAGGAGGUUGGGCUGCUCCUCGUCUUAAGGAUGCUGCUUUGUCGGAUGACAAGUUGCGUGAAACUUACUUUGAGAUUGUUACAACGAUGCGGACACUUUACCAAAAGUGCAAGCUUGUCCAUGGUGAUUUGAGUGAAUACAACAUUCUUUAUUUUGAGGGACACUUGUACAUCAUUGAUGUUUCACAGUCUGUCGACCUUGACCAUCCUUCAGCUUUGGAUUUCCUGAAGGAAGAUUGCUUGCAUGUUAAUGAUUUCUUUGAAAAACGAGGCAUUCCUGUCAUGACAGUAACAGAGCUAUUUAAUUUUGUUGUGGAUCAAAAUAUCGCUGAUGAAGAUGUUGAUGAUUACUUGGAGAAGGUUCAACAAAAGAUUUUGGAAAAUGGAGAUACAGCUGCAGAUGAUGAUGAAAUUGCUCCGACAGUCUUGGUGCAGACGUUGGAUUAUGUGAAGCAAUGCGAGGCAGAUAUUGUCAGCAUGUCAAUGAUGCAACGCCCAUCCGUUGGUUAUGAGCCAACAGCAGAUAAGCUUUAUGACCAGCCACUGUUAGGAUUUGUGCGGGCUAAAAAUGAGCCUACCGAAAACCAGGAAGCACAGCCGGCACAAAAAACACGGGAAGAACCCUUGGACCUGCAAACUAAGUGCUCGUUGGAGAACAAGGAGGAAGAUGAAUCGGGUGACAGUGAGUCCUGCUCUAGCUCCGACGAAGAUGGUUCGUGGCACGAGUCCACAAAGAUGGGGCCCGAGGAAAGGAAGGCUGCUCGCAAGGAAAACAAGAAGAAAGUGAAGGAAGAAAAGAGGGAAACUCGCAAGACGAAGAUCCCCAAGGCCGAUAAGAAGAAGAGGAAGAAAAUGGCGAAAGCGAAGUGCAAGCGGUAG